CGGAUCGAUUCCCAUGUUCAUGAGCUUUCUUCUCAAAUGAGAGUUCCAAUAGUUCUUCACCUCGUUGUCCGUUCGCCCUGGCAAUCUCCCAGCUAUCAAUGACCACCUAAAAUGAAAUAUUUUCCCAUUGUAGUUAGGAUUAGAAUUAGCAAUAUAUUUCUUAUUAUAACAAAUCUUGUUAUAGGUGCUACUUUUUAUGAAGUUUUACUUAAGCCUUACAAAAGGAAGAAAAAGAUUAAGGAAAAUGCUACAAUUAAUUUUGCAUAAUAUUUAGGACAUCAAGUUUAAAACUCAUAUAUAAAGGUUUUGUUUUUAAGUUAUGUGCCAAAUGCUAUACAUGAAAAUUAUGAGUCCCAAAUUGAUGAUAUAAAUUUACGUCCAAACUUCUAUGGAUAGAGUGUGUAUUACAACAUUUUGCGAAGAUAUAUAUUUGUGAGAGGGUAUUAAUAUGUCCAAGUACCGAUUGCCCAGGAGUGCGUGAAGCUUGAUGAUGAGAUCUUCUUCGUCUUCGGCGAAGUUUCCUCUUUUGAGGUCCGGCCUCAGGUAAUUUAUCCAUCUUAGCCUACAACUUUUACCACAUCGAAGUAGUCCUGAUCCCAAAACAAAAAACAAAACAUAAAGUUAAAUUAAGGAAACCCAUUAAUUUUUCUGUUUCCCCUUUUUUUAAUUUUUUAUUUCCCCUAGUUCUAGCUAAACAUGGCGGCCGAAAACAACGAACCUGCAGCCUGAGGAAGGGUACGCCAACAGCCUUCGCCGUGUCUCCGAAUGUAAUCUACGAGCUUCUGAUCCUCUUGUUUCGACCAUGCCCCUUUGUUCGUGUCUUGCUUCUCACAACAUGGCUUCCUCAUUUUACUACGUACUAUCUUUGCAUACAACUCCCAAACACCCUUCACUGAGAGAGAGAGAGAGAGAGAGAAGAAGAAGAAGAA